rnacentral:rRNA from 1 species
AUGAACGCUGGCGGCGUGCCUCACACCUGCCAGUCGCGCGGCAGCGAGGGGUGCUUGCACCCUGUCGGCGAGCGGCGGACGGCUGAGUAACGCGUGGGAACGUGCCCCAAAGUGAGGAAUAACUGCCCGAAAGGGUAGCUAAUACCGCAUAUUAUCUUCGGAUCAAAGGAUUUAUCCGCUUUGGGAGCGGCUCGCGUCGGAUUAGGUAGUUGGUGAGGUAAUGGCUCACCAAGCCGACGAUCCGUAGCUGGUCUGAGAGGAUGACCAGCCAGACUGGAACUGAGACACGGUCCAGACUCCUACGGGAGGCAGCAGUGAGGAAUCUUCCACAAUGGGCGAAAGCCUGAUGGAGCAACGCCGCGUGCAGGACGAAGGCCUUCGGGUUGUAAACUGCUUUUAUAAGUGAGGAAUAUGACGGUAACUUAUGAAUAAGGAUCGGCUAACUACGUG